rnacentral:tRNA from 1 species
CAGGACGAAGCUAAAAUAGUUAAGCAUCUCCCUUACACCGAGAAGUUAUCUGUGCAAGUCAGAUCGUCCUGA